rnacentral:rRNA from 1 species
CACUCCUGCGGGAGGCAGCAGUGGGGAAUAUUGGACAAUGGGCGCAAGCCUGAUCCAGCCAUGCCGCGUGAGUGAUGAAGGCCCUAGGGUUGUAAAGCUCUUUCACCGGUGAAGAUAAUGACGGUAACCGGAGAAGAAGCCCCGGCUAACUUCGUGCCAGCAGCCGCGGUAAUACGAAGGGGGCUAGCGUUGUUCGGAUUUACUGGGCGUAAAGCGCACGUAGGCGGACUAUUAAGUCAGGGGUGAAAUCCCGGGGCUCAACCCCGGAACUGCCUUUGAUACUGGUAGUCUUGAGUUCGAGAGAGGUGAGUGGAAUUCCGAGUGUAGAGGUGAAAUUCGUAGAUAUUCGGAGGAACACCAGUGGCGAAGGCGGCUCACUGGCUCGAUACUGACGCUGAGGUGCGAAGGCGUGGGGAGCAAACAGGAUUAGAUACCCGAGUAGUCCCAUGA